rnacentral:rRNA from 1 species
GUCCACGCUGUAAACGAUGAGUGCUAGAUGUUGGGGUAUUCACUCCCUCGGUAUCGAAGCUAACGCGCUAAGCACUCCGCCUGGGGAGUACGGCCGCAAGGUUGAAACUCAAAGGAAUUGACGGGGCCCGCACAAGCGGUGGAGUAUGUGGUUUAAUUCGACGCAACGCGCAGAACCUUACCCAGCCUUGACAUCCCUGGAAUUCGGUGGAAACAUCGGAGUGUCCUCGCAAGAGGAAGCCAGGAGACAGGUGCUGCAUGGCUGUCGU